AAGGGAGACCUAAUUCGGGUAUAAGACGAAAAAAGAGUAGUCGAAACCAAGAAUCAAUCCCAAAAGGUCGGAACGAGGUAUGUGGCUUUCAAACUAGGUUCUGGGUUCACACAAGACCUGAAUCAGGAACAAGGGCUAUUAGCUCAGGUGGUUAGAGCGCACCCCUGAUAAGAGUGAGGUCCCUGGUUCGAGUCCAGGAUGGCCCACCUGCACAGGUGGCAAAAACAAAGAAGCGAGGAAUCAGCACCUUAUCUUAUCUAUAUAUAAGAGAGAAUGCUGGCUCUGAGUAAAGAGUCCAGAGGAACCUUGAAAACUGCAUAGAGCUAGGUGAAAAAGCCAAAAAAGAAGACCGCAA
rnacentral:tRNA from 1 species